GGGAGUGGCUCAGUGGUAGAGCGCUUGUUUAGCACGCUGGAGAACCUGGGUUCAAUACCCAGUAGUGCCA
rnacentral:tRNA from 1 species